rnacentral:rRNA from 1 species
CUUGGUCAUUUAGAGGAAGUAAAAGUCGUAACAAGGUCUCCGUAGGUGAACCUGCGGAAGGAUCAUUACACAAAUUGAGGCGGGUGGAACCUCUCGGGGUUACAGUUGCUGAUUAUUCACCCUUGUCUUUGCGUACUCUUGUUUCCUUGGUGGGUUCGCCCACCACUAGGACAAACAUAAACCUUUUGUAAUUGCAAUCAGCGUCAGUAACAAAUUAAUAAUUACAACUUUCAACAACGGAUCUCUUGGUUCUGGCAUCGAUGAAGAACGCAGCGAAAUGCGAUAAGUAGUGUGAAUUGCAGAAUUCAGUGAAUCAUCGAAUCUUUGAACGCACAUUGCGCCCCUCGGUAUUCCGUGGGGCACGCCUGUUCGAGCGUCAUUUACACCCUCAAGCGUAGCUUGGUGUUGGGGUCUGUCCCGCUCUCCGUAGCGCGGACUCGCCUCAAAGUCAUUGGCGGCGGUCGUGCCGGCUCCUCGCGCAGCACAUUCGCGCUUCCUGGAGGCCCGGCGGAUCGGCAUCCAGCAAGCUACUUCUUAUGACUUGACCUCGGAUCAGGUAGGGAUACCCGCUGAACUUAAGCAUAUCAAUAAGCGGAGGA